CAACUACUCCCUCCGUCUGAAAAUACUUGUCAUCAAAAUGGACAAAAAAGGAUGUAUCUAGAACUAAAAUACAUCUAGAUACAUCCCCUUUUAUUCAUUUUGAUGACAAGUAUUUCUGGACGGAGGGAGUAUUUA
rnacentral:pre_miRNA from 1 species